AGACUGGAAUGAAUGGAUUAAUGGGGCAUCACUUUCUUAUAUUAAAUAUUAAAAAUAAUUUUUUUAGUGAAGAAACUAAAAUGAGAAUGAAAGACGAGAAGACCCUAUUAAGCUUAAAUAAAAUUAUUUUGUUGGGGAAACAAAAGAAUAAAACUUCUUUUAAAUAAGUUUUUGAUAAAAAAUGAUUUAUUAUUAAUAAUAAUAGAGAAAGUUACUAUAGGGAUAACAGCAUAAUUUUUUUUAUAAGUUCUUAUUUACAAAGAAGAUUAUGACCUCGAUGUUGGAUUAAAAUAAUUAUAUAAUGAAGUUGUUGUAUUAAUUAGUCUGUUCGACUAUUAAAGUUUUAC
rnacentral:rRNA from 1 species